UAUUUGGUUUAUCAGAACAAAGAUCAAUCAUAUCUUAUAAAACUCAGUUUAUUUUCUACUAAAUUAAUGAGUUUGAAUGUCCCUUUGGUAUCUUUCGCCUUUCUUUCACAACACUUUUAAAGGUGAUAAACUGCUUUUAGUUCAUUAUAUGUUGUUUAAGCAGACAUCUUAAUUUAUCAUGUAAUUCAAAUCAGGAACAUUUUGAAACUUAAGUCAGGGAUUAUCGUCGUCUUCACUGCGAUAUAAAUACUCAAUAUACAAGUGCUAUUCGGAUGGCGAUGCAGAGAAAUGGAACGUUCUACAUGGGAGAACUUAAAUUAUCUCUUCUUUUAAAUUGAAACGACCACAACUACGAGACAGUCAGGUUACUAUUCAAUGAACUCAAUGUUGCGUAUAAUAUUUUAUUUCCGCAAAUAUUUCUCGGAAAUGAUUUCAAAAUCAACUGCACUAAUGGGUCACCUGUGUUUUCAUGGUAGUGCGGUAAUUCCGUCACUGCGUAGUCAUGUAUGGAGGACCGGUUUUAACAUAUAUUAACUAUAACUUAAAGGGGCACUAGCUGUCAAAUUCAUGGUCACUGAUCUGACUCAAAUUCUCAUAUUUUAUUUAUAACAAUGUAAAACAUUUAUCCAAACUAUCAAAAAUCUAAAAUAAACUGUUUACAGAUCAUUGGAUCGGUAAUAUGUAGGUUGGUUUCGUGUGUAUUUUAGUCCAGACGCCAUCUAAUUAACUAUCGAUUUGACCUCAGAUGACCAUAAAAGCGAUGUAAACAUAAAUAAAGAUAUGAAUAGAUUAAGUCAAUACAUGCAAUUGGAUUUUUAUAGGUCUGUUUGAUUUUAUUUUAUAGAUUAAAAAUAUAUGUUUAUUAUUAUUUUUACCCGUAUGAGAAUGAUUUUAUGUGUUCGAAUCAGUUAUCAAAUGAUUAUCUUUGUUUCACUUUCAUUGUUGACAUUCUUUUUCUUUAAAUAACCAAUACACGUACAAAGCAUGCGUUGUCAAUCCCUAGCAAGGAGUUAAAUUGAAGUUCACAUGAAUACGGUUUUAACGAGGUCGACUUAUUCACUUGCAAGUGAAUAACUAAUUGUCAAUUUUUCUUAGCUCAAUUUGACAAAAUUGAACCAUUUUGGCUGUUAAAAAGCGAAUUAUUAUUUCACUAUUUCACUUUCAUUAUUGAUUGAAACAAAAAAAAUCUUACUUUAGAUUUUUUAUAUAUCUCGUAGCUAGUGCCCCUUUAAGGGAAUGGUGUUUUAUUAAUGGACCACUAAGAAAGGAACUUUGGAUGAACGAAAUAAAACAAAGUCAAUAUAAUAGAGAAAUUGGUGAUAUAGAAAAAUAAACCAAAAAAGUAAAAUAUAUGAUUAUAGAAAAAAAUAAGAAUUUCAAUAGCAUGGUUAUUAAUGAUUAUGGAUCUUUAAGACUUUUUUUAUUUUGGCUUUCCAUAGUUUUUAAAAUGGAUUUGUCGCCUUUUAUUAAGACUUUAUGUAAGCAAAUGGUUGAAAUGAUAUAGCAGACGAAAUAUUUUCGGGAAGUAAAGGGGUGGAGUUACUGGACGGGCGAAAUUACCGGACACGGUUGUAAUUUAAGAUUACUCGAUGUAGUGGCAAUCGUUAAGAAUGCAGUAUAUUUCAUUUUAUUUAGGAUUAUGCAUGAGAAAUGUGGUAAAUAUGCCUGUGUUCAAUAAAAGAUUUUUGCAUUUUGCACGCUAACUGAAAGUUGUAUAAUAUAUUGUAUCUAUUUCUAAUUGUCAAUCUAUG
rnacentral:lncRNA from 1 species